UAAUACAGAGGGUGCAAGCGUUGUUCGGAAUUACUGGGCGUAAAGCGCGUGUAGGCGGUUUGGUAAGUCAAAUGUGAAAGCCCUGAGCUCAACUUAGGAACUGCAUAUGAUACUGCUAGACUCGAGUGUCGGAGGGGAUGGUGGAAUUCCCGGUGUAGAGGUGAAAUUCGUAGAUAUCGGGAGGAACACCUGUGGCGAAGGCGGCCAUCUGGAAGACAACUGACGCUGAGACGCGAAAGCGUGGGGAGCAAACAGGAUUAGAUACCCUGGUAGUCCACGCUGUAAACGAUGAGUGCUAGAUGUUGCGGGUAUUGACCCCUGCAGUGUCAAAGCUAACGCGUUAAGCACUCCGCCUGGGAAGUACGGUCGCAAGAUUA
rnacentral:rRNA from 1 species